GGGCCAAAAUCUAUAUUAGAACGGACCCAUUCAAGUUAAACUUUUAUAUUUAAUGAUAAAACAAUCAUCAUAUCAAAUAUUUCGCUGGACAAAAAUUCAAAUGACACAAGAAUAGUUUAAAUAAAAUGAGAAAAAAAUUAACCAAAAAAUAUCUUUUGUUGGAUAAAAAUAAUGUUAAGGUCAUGUACAAUAUUUGUGGGAUUUAUAGGGGGGUGGGUCAUAAAAUGAUUCCCCCAUCCCCCUUUGUGUCAGCCGAUAUAAAUUUUCACCGCCAAAGGUUGACCGUAAUCCUCUCCCCCCCCCCCCCUUCUCUCCCUGGAGUCUUGCUUCAAUAUUCUUCUAAUGUGACCGAUGUGACCAUAUAGAUUGACCUGACUUGAAUGUUUUAUUUACAGUUACAUAUCCACUAUUGAUUUUAAAACUUCAAGGGACUAAACUGUUUGUUUUUGGUUUGUUUGUGUGUAACAAACGCUAUGACUGAUGAAUAUUUUUAGAAAUGCAUACUCAUUCUAAUCAGGAUGCUUCAUAACGGUUAUGUUGCUGACCAGGUUCUGUUUCAUGAAGACUAGAUGCAGGAUUCAGCAGAUUCCUCAUAGAAGGUUUCCUCCAAACUGUUCUUAAUGGAUAUAGAUGCUGAGAAGUCAUAAUGAUUAAUAUGAUACGAGGUGCGACUGUUAAAGGGCUGCAGCAUCCUCUACUGAGUCCAUUUUUGUCUACUUCUUUACUGACAAGAAGUUUUUAUUUUUACGCUUAAAAGGAAUUGACCGGCAAUGUAUGGGGGUUCCACUGAAAUUUCAGUAUUUUACAUGAAGUCCGAAUUUCAAAAUCUCUUCAGUUCUUGAUGUCAAAACUGCGUGUCAAUAAGUGAUUUUUUUAAAUGCAACAACUGACUAGCCCUUAUAAAAAAAAUAUGAGCCAAAGAUAAGAGAAAAUAUUAUUU